rnacentral:rRNA from 1 species
AUGAGCGUGGUCGGCACCUGCAACGGCCUCGUCUGCCUAUACGACCACCAGGUGCCCGGCGGCGCCAUCACCGUGGCCAACCGCGUCACCGACGAGGCCCUGAGCAUCCCGCGGCUGCCAACGCCUCAGCCCGCUGAUGGAAGUACCAGCUGGCACGAGGCCUACAGCUUCACGUACCUCCCGGCCACGGGACGCUACAAGGUGGUGCACGUCGGGUUACACGCAUUUGAUGCGGUGCAUGUGUUCACCCUGGGGAAGCCGAGGUGGCGGGCUGUGCCGGUCGGCCAUCCACCGAGAUUCAGAAGCGACGGCCUUGGCCACAAAGUCGUCACCGUCGACGGCGCGGCGUACUGGGCCACGUCGGAGGGCACCUAG